GCACAAGCGGUGGAUGAUGUGGUUUAAUUCGAUGCAACGCGAAAACCUUACCACCUUUGACAUGUACGGAAUCCUUUAGAGAUAGAGGAGUGCUCGAAAGAGAGCCGUAACACAGGUGCUGCAUGGCUGUCGUCAGCUCGUGUCGUGAGAUGUUGGGUUAAGUCCCGCAACGAGCGCAACCCUUGUCAUUAGUUGCUACAUUCAGUUGGGCACUCUAAUGAGACUGCCGGUGACAAACCGGAGGAAGGUGGGGAUGACGUCAAGUCCUCAUGGCCCUUAUAGGUGGGGCUACACACGUCAUACAAUGGAUGGUACAAAGGGUCGCCAACCCGCGAGGGGGAGCCAAUCCCACAAAGCCGGUCGUAGUCCGGAUCGCAGUCUGCAACUCGACUGCGUGAAGUCGGAAUCGCUAGUAAUCGCGGAUCAGCAUGUCGCGGUGAAUACGUUCCCGGGCCUU
rnacentral:rRNA from 1 species